AUUGAACGCUGGCGGCAGGCCUAACACAUGCAAGUCGAGCGAGCGGCGGACGGGUGAGUAAUGUAUGGGGACUGCCCGAUAGAGGGGGAUAACUACUGGAAACGGUAGCUAAUACCGCAUACUAUCGGAUAACCCAUAUGGGAUUAGCUAGUAGGUGGGGUAAUGGCUCACCUAGGCGACGAUCCCUAGCUGGUCUGAGAGGAUGAUCAGCCCAACGGGGACUUAGACACGGCCCAGAAUCCUACGGAGGGAACAGGGGGGAAUAUUGGCAAAUGGGCGCAAGCCCUAUGCAGCCAUUGCGCGGGGUUGAAGAAGGCCCUAGGGUUGUAAAGGACUUUCAGUUCGGAGGCGUUACCCGCAGAAGAAGCACCGGCUUACUCCGUGCCAGCAGCCGCGGUAAUUC
rnacentral:rRNA from 1 species